rnacentral:rRNA from 1 species
AUUGAACGCUGGCGGCGUGCUUAACACAUGCAAGUCGAUCGGUAACGCGGGGGCAACCCUGGCGACGAGAGGCGGACGGGUGAGGAACGCUUGGGAAUCUGCCUAUCAGCGGGGGACAACCCGGGGAAACUCGGGCUAAUACCGCAUACGCUCUACGGAGGAAAGCCGGGGACCGCAAGGCCUGGCACUGAUAGAUGAGCCCAAGUCGGAUUAGCUAGUUGGCGGGGUAACGGCCCACCAAGGCGACGAUCCGUAGCUGGGCUGAGAGGACGAUCAGCCACACGGGGACGGAGACACGGAGCAGACUCCUACGGGAGGCAGCAGUGGGGAAGAUUGGACAAUGGGGGAAACCCUGAUCCCGCGACGCCGCGUGGGUGAAGAAGGCCUGCGGGUUGUAAGGCCCUUUCGGUAGGGACGAAAGCUCUCGACCUAACACGUCGGGGGGUUGACUUAACCUACAAAAGAAGCACCGGCUAACUCUGUGCCAGCCGCCGCCGUAAGAC